UACGAAGGGUGCAAGCGUUAGUCGGAAUUUACUGGGCGUAAAGCGUGCGUAGGCGGUCUCUUUAAGUCCGUUUGUGAAAGCCCUGGGCUCAACCUGGGAACUGCAGUGGAUACUGAGAAGCUAGAGUGUGUCAGAGGAUGGUGGAAUUUCCCGGUGUAGUGGUGAAAUGCGUAGAUAUCGGGAGGAACACCAGUGGCGAAGGCGGCAUCCUGGCCCUGUCCUGACGCUCAGGGGCGAAAGCGUGGGGAGCAAACCGG
rnacentral:rRNA from 1 species